rnacentral:rRNA from 1 species
UACGUAGGGUGCAAGCGUUGUCCGGAAUUAUUGGGCGUAAAGAGCUCGUAGGCGGUUUGUCGCGUCUGCUGUGAAAUCCCGAGGCUCAACCUCGGGUCUGCAGUCGAUACGAGCAAACUAGAGUGUUGCAGGGGAGACUGGAAUUCCUGGUGUAGCGGUGAAAUGCGCAGAUAUCAGGAGGAACACCGGUGGCGAAGGCGGGUCUCUGGGCAACAACUGACGCUGAGGAGCGAAAGCGUGGGGAGCGAACAGG